rfam:Rhodanobacter sp. SCN 69-32 ABT17_C0003, whole genome shotgun sequence.
UUGAGCCGUAUGAGGCGAAAGUCUCACGUACGGUUCUUAGGGGGGAGGGUGGCCGCGAGGCCACCUUCCCACCCGAC